AUCCCAAAUGAGCUAAAGAUAAAAAGGUGCUUAUUUGACUCAUGAGAGGACGAAAUCAAAUCCCAAAAUCUGGGGGUUUCGCUGAUGGCGCCUUUCCUUUAUUUUUUUAAUCGAAGGUGUUUAUUAGUAACCUCUUUAGACAUUA
rfam:Gossypium raimondii chromosome 9, whole genome shotgun sequence.